UCUCGUUACCGAAGUCGACGUUUUAUCGUUUGUUUUUCGAAUUUAUUAUAGAAUUAUUAUUCCAACAGGAAUAGUUACUAUGUUCGAUAUACAUAAAUAGCCCCUAAAAAGUUUCACCAUUCUUUUGUAAUAUAAAGAAUAAAAUGGAUGUCAAUUUAUGAAUAAAAUGGAUGUCAAUUUAUGUUCGAGAUGUAAUAAUAUAAUUCGAACCAGAGAAUUUAUGGCAUGUUGCACAUGUAAAUGUAAAUACGAUAUAGACUGCGUAAAUAUGUCGUACAAAAGAUUCAACCUAAUAAGAAACACUGAACAUAUGAAUACUUGGAAGUGUCCAGAAUGUAGAAAAGUGACAGAAAAUAUUGACAACACUUCUGCAACGGAUAACAGCAUGCCUUCUCCAAAUUCACUUAAUAAUGUGACCAUACGUUCAAAAAUAAA